rnacentral:rRNA from 1 species
UACACUCCUGCGGGAGGCAGCAGUGGGGAAUUUUGGACAAUGGGCGAAAGCCUGAUCCAGCAAUGCCGCGUGAGUGAAGAAGGCCUUCGGGUUGUAAAGCUCUUUUGUCAGGGAAGAAACGGUGAAAGCUAAUAUCUUUUGCUAAUGACGGUACCUGAAGAAUAAGCACCGGCUAACUACGUGCCAGCAGCCGCGGUAAUACGUAGGGUGCAAGCGUUAAUCGGAAUUACUGGGCGUAAAGCGUGCGCAGGCGGUUUUGUAAGUCUGAUGUGAAAUCCCCGGGCUCAACCUGGGAAUUGCAUUGGAGACUGCAAGGCUAGAAUCUGGCAGAGGGGGGUAGAAUUCCACGUGUAGCAGUGAAAUGCGUAGAUAUGUGGAGGAACACCGAUGGCGAAGGCAGCCCCCUGGGUCAAGAUUGACGCUCAUGCACGAAAGCGUGGGGAGCAAACAGGAUUAGAAACCCCGGUAGUCC